rnacentral:sRNA from 1 species
UGGCCCACUGAGUCGUGCGGGUGAGAUCCUGCGUUCAGGUUCGAGCAUCGCGCAGCGAUACGGCAACGCGCAGCGUUGCCCGUAGGGUGAGGCCACAGGCCGAAUCAAUCCUGCACGACCCACCA